rnacentral:rRNA from 1 species
CUUGCUUCUAUCAAUCUUAGUGGCGAACGGGUGAGUAACGCGUAAUCAACCUGCCCUUCAGAGGGGGACAACAGUUGGAAACGACUGCUAAUACCGCAUGACGCAGCGAGGGGGCAUCCCUUUGCUGCCAAAGAUUUAUCGCUGAAAGAUGGCCUCGCGUCUGAUUAGCUUGUUGGUGAGGUAACGGCCCACCAAGGCGACGAUCAGUAGCCGGACUGAGAGGUUGGCCGGCCACAUUGGGACUGAGAUACGGCCCAGACUCC